UGGCGGAGGACGCGAACGUUGAUGCCCUUGUCCAGCCCCGGAGCAAAAUGAGCACCAUCCGUCCGCGUCGCCCCCGGACCUCUCUGUGCAGAAAUAACUGCGUGCCCCCUCGGUAGCCACAGCCAUUCACGGUUUUCUAGGAUUUCGAGUGCAAAGCCUAGUGAUAGGAAGUGCGCUGAAUGUCUUAGAUGGAAGUUUUUCAUUUAAUCCUGAGUACCUUACCAGAUCCAGUGGCCCGGAUGCAACAGAGAGUGUCGUGUCUGUUUGGAUUAAUGUUUCUCAGCUCUGGCAGCGCGGGGCUGAAUAAGGGUGGUGUUCUCUGUUCUGUGAUGACAGUGUUCCCCCAUGCCGUGAUGGGGUUUGUGUGCACUUUAUGGGUUUAAGUCACAUGAAAUGACAUGAAACAAUGCCCAAAGAACCAGUCUUCUCCACUGCCCUUUAUUUCUCCCAGCUGUGUGUCUCCAGUAUUACUAAUUAAAUCGCCACCAUUCACUGGCCCCAAACAUCCACUCCAGACAACAACAUCAGGCCUGAGCACUCUGACUUUAUCUUCCUGAGAAAAGAAAGCGAAAACAAACUUCUGACUGAUCAGUUUGCUCCGUCUCCUGAAUUUAAUAAGGGGAAUGAAGUCUGCAGGCCUAGAAAUCUGUUCCACUAUGUGAAUGCUGAAAGCAGG
ensembl:lncRNA